AGACGCGGGGCGGCGGAGCGUGCGCGGAAGGACCCGGAUGCGGCUCUCCGUCGCCGGCAGCGAUGGGCAGAGACAACAUCAAGAUGCUUGUGUCAUCAGCCAUACAGUCACUGAAGAGCUGUUAUUGCCACUGGAAUAAAACGCCUAUUAGUGUUUUUUUCAAUAGAAGCCACAUCAGAGUGGAAAGCACCACACAACCAUUUUCUUCCUUUCACACAAUGCCCUUGUCUGAUGCUCGUUGGAUGCAAUCCAGCAGAUUGGCAUGUUAUAACUAGGAACACUACACUCUGCAAAGGCAAUGGGUUGGCUACUGCUCUGGAC